UGGAGACCCCCGGGCAGUUUUUAGGCCAAAAUUUCGGCAACCAAAAAUAUUUUUUCCCUAUCCUAUUUUUAGGCCCCGGGUAGUGUUUUGAGACACUCGCCAUCAUAGUGAUUUUUUGUCGCACUUUUUCGUCGUCGCUGCCCUGAUUUCCGAAAAAAAAAAAUAGUCAAAAAAUUUUGUGCCCAUCCUGUCAGUUUGACCUGGGAAGAGUUUUGAGACACUCGCCAUUAUAGUGAUUUUUUCGCAAAAAAAAAAAAAAGAGGAGCGCAAAAAAAAAAAAAAGAGCGAAAAAAAAAAUUCCUGAGUGUGCUUUUCCCUUGUUUACGUGCAGCGCCNNNNNNNNNNNNNNNNNNNNNNNNNNNNNNNNNNNNNNNNNNNNNNNNNNNNNNNNNNNNNNNNNNNNNNNNNNNNNNNNNNNNNNNNNNNNNNNNNNNNNNNNNNNNNNNNNNNNNNNNNNNNNNNNNNNNNNNGCCGUGAUUUUGUUAGUGUUCUAGGCUCGCGUCUCUAGCACGGUCUAGCCUAGGACCAGCACAGUACCGUCGUUGAGCGUUUAUUCAACUUUGCAUCUCUGAAUUGAUUAUUGCUUACCAUUUUGCUACCAUAUUAUAAGCCUUCCCAGCUCCACAUAAGUCUACAUCGUGCGUUUGACUCUCCCUGGUAAUCGCUAUAUCCAAGCUUUGAGAGUUUUUGACUACAACGGUUGCCGAUCACCACCUGCUGCUGGGUAAGAACUGGUAAGAAUUUGAGAUUCGCUUGAAGGUUUUGUGACACACCACCAUCCCACCACUUCUAGUAGUCUGCAGGAUCAUAUUCUUUUGUGUUUCUAUUACUGCUAACCAUGGCAGGUUCACAAGCCGAUGAGACUGAUUGGGCGAACAUGACGAACAAGGAGUUGCAUGAUAAAUUUCAGCAAAUGAUGAGUGGCCAGGUGGGAGAUGUGCUAAACAGAUUUGGAGAGGCUAUGGAGAAGAUAGAUGCCGUGGAGAAGUCGUUUGAGACAAAGCUGGAUGACAAGUUUACUGAAUUACUCAAGCGUCUUCCCCAACCACCACCGGCUGCACAUGUCGCACCUCUACAACAACAACAACCACAUCUCCAACGCCGCCUUCCAAAUCAAGUGGGACGGGCACAGCGCGUUCCAAUUGAGAUUGGUCAAAAUUCGGGUGCUGUUGUCCCUACUGUUGAUGCUUCUUUGGCUCCUGCUCCUGCGGCGGCUGAGGAGGAUGACGAUUAUGCGGGCGAUUAUGAGGAUGAGGUUGAUCAAAAUCAGAACUACGUGCAGCCACCAGCACCACCACCAGCAGGUCGACCUCAGGUAUAUAUUCGCAACGGUAGGCCGGCACCACCACCUCAGGUACGAGAUCAUGACCAUCUCCCUAAACUGAAAUUGAAUAUUCCACCAUUUGAGGGUAGAUAUGUUCCUGAUAUAUAUCUUACUUGGGAGUUAGAAACUGAACAACGAUUUACAUGUUUACAAUAUCCUGAGGAGAGACGUGUUCCUGCUGCUGUUUGUGCUUUCACUAGCUUUGCAUGUGUUUGGUGGUCUGAACAUUGUAGAUUAUAUCCUGUUCCAGCUACUUGGGCUGCUUUGAAAACUGCUAUGCGUACUCGUUGGGUUCCACCAUAUUAUCAACGUGAAUUACUUCAAAAAUUGCAGCGUUUAAGACAAGGAAAAAAUUCUAUAGAAGAAUAUUAUCAGGAAUUACAAACUGGCAUGAUUAGAUGUGGUAUUGUUGAGGAGAAUGAAGCUAUGCUUGCACGUUUUAUGGGUGGAUUAAAUAAAGAGAUUCAGACCAUUCUAGAGUAUAAGGAUUAUAAUAAUAUCACUCAUUUAUUCCAUCUUGCUUGUAAAGCUGAACGUGAAGUGCAGGAUCGACAGCCAUUGGCGCGAACUAACUUUUCUGCAGGUCGACCUUCAUCAUGGACACCGCGUGCAUCUUCUACUUCCACUUCACCAUCACCUCCAUCAGGUGCCACCUCCAGCCGUGAUACAAGAAAGCAGGCACAACCACCACUCUCUGCCAAGAGCACACUUGCCGGGCCUGUGCAGAGCUCUUCUUCUUCCAUGGCAUCGACAGGGCACACAAGUGAUAUUAUUUGUCGUCGUUGUAAGGGAAGAGGACAUUUUGCGAGAGAAUGCAAAUCUCAGCGUGUCAUGAUUGCUACUGAGGAUGGUGGGUAUGAGUCCGCUAGUGACUAUGAUGAGGAGACUUUGGCUCUUAUUACACGUGAAGAACAUGGUGGAGAUGAUUCUGAAAAUGAGACGCAAUACAUGGCUCCUGAAGACGCUGACAGGUAUGAAUGUUUAGUUGCUCAACGUGUUUUGAGUGUGCAGGUCACACAAGCAGAGCAAAAUCAGAGGCAUAAUUUGUUCCAUACAAAGGGAGUUGUGAAGGAACGUUCUGUUCGCGUCAUCAUAGAUGGAGGGAGCUGUAACAACUUGGCUAGCAUGGAGAUGGUGGAGAAGCUAUCUCUCACCACAAGACCGCAUCCACAUCCUUACUACAUCCAAUGGUUCAACAACAGCGGCAAGGUUAAGGUAACACGUACUGUUCGUGUGCAUUUUAGUAUCUCUACAUAUGCUGAUUAUGUUGAUUGUGAUGUGGUACCCAUGCAAGCAUGUUCCUUAUUACUAGGUAGACCAUGGCAAUUUGAUAAAAAUUCUGUACACCAUGGUAGAAACAAUCAGUAUACUCUUGUUCAUAAGGAUAAAAAUAUUACUUUGCUUCCUAUGACUCCUGAUUCCAUUUUGAAAGAUGACAUUAAUAGAGCUAAUAAAGCAAAACAGGAGAAAAAUAAGAGUGAAAAUCAGAUUGUGGCAAAGGAAUUUGAGCAACAAAUGAAACCUAAUAAUAAACCAUCUAGUGUUGUUUCUGAAAUUAAAUUGAAAAGUGCAUGUUUACUUGCCACAAAAUCUGAUAUUGAUGAACUAGAUUUCAGCAAAUCUGUUUGCUAUGCUUUUGUGUGCAAAGAGGCAUUAUUUUCAUUCGAGGACGUGCCUUCCUCUUUGCCCCUGCUGUCACUCACAUUUUGCAGGAGUUCGCUGACGUCUUCCCACAAGACGUGCCACCGGGAUUACCACCUAUUCGAGGGAUUGAGCAUCAAAUUGACUUAAUUCCCGGUGCAUCGCUACCCAACCGUGCACCAUACCAUACCAAUCCAGAGGAGACGAAGGAGAUUAUGCGUCAAGUACAGGAGCUGCUCGACAAAGGUUAUAUACGCGAAUCUCUUAGUCCUUGUGCUGUUCCUAUUAUACUCGUGCCUAAAAAGGAUGGUACGUCGCGUAUGUGUGUUGAUUGUAGAGGCAUUAAUAAUAUUACUAUUCGUUAUCGUCAUCCUAUUCCUAGGCUCGAUGAUAUGCUUGAUGAAUUGAGUGGCUCUACAAUAUUCUCCAAAGUUGAUUUGCGUAGUGGAUACCAUCAAAUUCGUAUGAAAUUGGGAGAUGAAUGGAAAACUGCAUUUAAAACUAAGUUUGGUUUAUAUGAGUGGUUAGUCAUGCCUUUUGGGUUAACUAAUGCACCUAGUACUUUCAUGAGACUAAUGAACGAAGUUUUACGUGCUUUCAUUGGACGAUUUAUGGUGGUCUAUUUUGAUGAUAUACUGAUUUAUAGCAAAUCUUUGGAAGAACAUUUGGAACAUUUACGUGCUGUUUUUAUUGCUCUACGUGAUGCACGUUUGUUUGGUAACCUUGGGAAGUGCACCUUUUGCACCGACCGAGUAUCUUUUCUUGGCUAUGUUGUUACUCCACAGGGAAUUGAAGUUGAUAAAGCCAAGAUUGAAGCUAUUGAGAGUUGGCCGCAGCCCAAAACGGUCACACAAGUGCGGAGUUUUCUUGGACUCGCUGGUUUCUAUAGGCGUUUUGUGAGAGAUUUUAGCACCAUUGCUGCACCUCUCAACGAGCUUACAAAGAAGGAUGUGCCUUUUGUUUGGGGUACCGCACAGGAAGAAGCCUUCACGGUAUUGAAAGAUAAGUUGACACAUGCUCCUUUACUCCAACUUCCUGAUUUUAAUAAGACUUUUGAGCUUGAAUGUGAUGCUAGUGGCAUUGGAUUAGGAGGUGUGUUAUUACAAGAUGGCAACAUUAUUUAUGGCCCAAAGAAUUUGUUAUACAUUCUGAUCAUGAAUCUUUGAAACAUAUUAAAAGUCAAGCUAAACUGAAUCGUAGACAUGCUAAAUGGGUUGAAUUCAUUGAAACUUUCCCUUAUGUCAUUAAACACAAGAAGGGUAAAGAAAAUGUUAUUGCUGAUGCAUUGUCUCGUCGCUAUACUAUGCUUUCACAACUUGACUUCAAAAUAUUUGGUUUGGAGACCAUCAAAGAUCAAUAUGUGCAUGAUGCUGAUUUUAAAGAUGUAUUGCAGAAUUGUAAAGAAGGAAGAACCUGGAACAAGUUUGUCGUUAAUGAUGGAUUUGUGUUCCGUGCUAACAAGCUAUGCAUUCCAGCUAGCUCUCUUCGUAUUUUGUUGUUGCAGGAGGCGCAUGGAGGAGGAUUAAUGGGACACUUUGGCGUGAAGAAGACGGAGGACGUACUUGCUACACAUUUCUUUUGGCCAAAGAUGAGACGGGAUGUUGAGCGUUUUGUUGCUCGCUGCACUACAUGUCAAAAAGCUAAGUCACGACUCAAUCCUCAUGGUUUAUAUAUGCCUUUGCCUGUACCUAGUGUUCCUUGGGAGGAUAUAUCUAUGGACUUUAUUUUAGGUUUACCUCGAACAAAGAAGGGGAGGGAUAGCAUAUUUGUUGUCGUGGAUAGAUUCUCGAAAAUGGCGCACUUUAUACCAUGUCAUAAAAGCGAUGAUGCUGUUAAUGUUGCUGAUUUGUUCUUUCGUGAAAUUAUUCGCUUGCAUGGUGUGCCAAAUACUAUUGUUUCAGAUCGUGAUACUAAAUUUCUUAGCCACUUUUGGAGAUGUUUAUGGGCUAAGUUGGGGACCAAACUGCUUUUUAGUACUACUUGUCACCCCCAAACUGAUGGACAAACUGAAGUAGUCAAUAGAACAUUGUCUACUAUGCUUAGGGAUGUUUUGAAGAAUAAUAAGAAAAUGUGGGAAGAAUGCUUGCCUCAUAUUGAGUUUGCUUAUAAUCGUUCAUUGCAUUCUACUACUAAGAUGUGCCCUUUUGAAAUUGUGUAUGGUUUCCUACCUCGUGCACCUAUUGAUUUGUUGCCUCUUCCAUCUUCGGAGAAGGUUAAUUUUGAUGCUAAACAACGUGCUGAAUUGAUCUUAAAAAUGCAUGAGUUAACUAAGGAAAACAUUGAGCGUAUGGAUGCUAAAUAUAAACUUGCUGGAGAUAAGGGUAGAAAACAUGUUGUGUUUGCACCUGGAGAUCUUGUUUGGUUACAUUUGCGUAAGGAUAGAUUUCCUGAUUUGCGCAAAUCAAAGCUAAUGCCACGUGCUGAUGGUCCUUUUAAGGUGUUAGAGAAAAUAAAUGAUAAUGCAUAUAAACUUGAGCUGCCUGCAGAUUUUGGGGUUAGUCCCACUUUUAACAUUGCAGAUUUGAAGCCUUAUUUGGGUGAGGAAGAUGAGCUUCCGUCGAGGACGACUUCAUUUCAAGAAGGGGAGGAUGAUGAGGACAUCAAUACCAUUGUUACACCCACAGGCCCUGCUGCUAUACAUACUGGACCAAUUACUAGAGCUCGCGCACGCCAAUUAAAUUACCAGGUACUUUCGUUUCUUGCUAAUGAUUCUAAUGUUCAUGAGAAUAUGAUGCUGCGUAAAUUGGAUACAUUUGUUUUGCUUACAAAUGAAGGGCCUAGCUUUGAGAAGGAUGAACAUUGGAGCAAGAACAAGCAUGGAGAUGAUGGCAUGCGCAUGGGGAACAAGAACGGAGUUACAAGUGAUGAUUUCAGGACGUUGAAGCCACCAUAAUGCGUGCAUGAAGCCUUGGACGAAAUAUACAAGAUGCUACUUCAUAACUUUCGUCCAGAGGCUAUUCUAGGUGCUGCGUCACCUUAUUAUUGGGCCAGGCCCAUGUAAUUUCGAAAUACAUAAGUAUAGGCUGUUUUUAGAGUCCGUAUGUGUGGGGAAACAAGAGAUAGGGUUGGUUUCGGACCCCUUCCUCAAGGGCCACGAAAUUCCCCCCUUCUUCCUCCAUAUAUACAGCCCUUAGGGCGUCGUUUAGACUUUGGGUUUUGUUUAGAUUAAAAGUUCGCCAUAGCUGCAACUUCGCGUACUUCGUUUGUGUUCAGCGACCAGACAAAGGCGUCACAGAACCCCACCUUGAUCAAUAAAGCUUUCAUCUUAUAUUCGCAAUAUCCAGAUUGCAAUCUCAUUUUCUUGCCUGUUCUUCGUUUGCUCGCAGGAAACAGACCCUCGUGGUCAGGUUGAUCAUGCUCCGGCGUGGUCGAUAACCUCUCGGAGUUGGUUUAGCGAUUGCUAAGGCGCGACGUCCUCGCACGUUCGUAGUCGGAUCGUCAAAGUCGACUUCCAUCAAAGCGAUAUUCAUCAUCUCACCGAAAGACGGGACACCUUUGCCUCUAUCAAGUGGUAUCAGAUUUCCAGGUUGCUCGGUGAGAUUUUACAGUUUUUCGUAGUUUAGAUCGAGUCUGUUCUUCAUACCUACAGUCCACGAAAAAGCCACAAAAAAAUUAGGGUUAGUUCAUCAUAUCCGAACCAAUCUGAGCCUUUGCAUAAUCUUUUUAGGGUUUUUGCUUUGUUGAAUUUGCGGUUGCAUCGUCGUGUCAAGUUGCUGGUCUUAGAGUCUAGUCUUUUAGAGUUUCGAGUUCUGGUCAUAAGUUGUCACGCCGCCGCCGCACCAUCAUCAUCGCCUUGCCAUCUACCACCAUUGCUUAUCCGCCACCGCUCUGAAUCCGUAUCCAUAUACCACCACCGCUGCCAUAUACUACCGCCAUAUAUCCACCACCAAUCCGAGUUCUUUUCAUAGUCGGUUUGUUUUCGAGAUCCAUAUAUUUUCCGUUUCGUGUUUCCUUGCCUGAGUCUGGAGACCCCCGGGCAGUUUUUAGGCCAAAAUUUCGGCAACCAAAAAUAUUUUUUCCCUAUCCUAUUUUUAGGCCCCGGGUAGUGUUUUGAGACACUCGCCAUCAUAGUGAUUUUUUGUCGCACUUUUUCGUCGUCGCUGCCCUGAUUUCCGAAAAAAAAAUAGUCAAAAAAUUUUGUGCCCAUCCUGUCAGUUUGACCUGGGAAGAGUUUUGAGACACUCGCCAUUAUAGUGAUUUUUUCGCAAAAAAAAAAGAGGAGCGCAAAAAAAAAAGAGCGCAAAAAAAAAAGAGCGAAAAAAAAAUCCCUGAGUGUGCUUUUCCCUUGUUUACGUGCAGCGCCGUGAUUUUGUUAGUGUUCUAGGCUCGCGUCUCUAGCACGGUCUAGCCUAGGACCAGCACAGUACCGUCG
rnacentral:lncRNA from 1 species